UACGUAGGGGGCAAGCGUUGUCCGGAAUCAUUGGGCGUAAAGAGCGUGUAGGCGGCCCGAUAAGUCCGCUGUGAAAGUCCAGGCUCAACCCUGGAAUGCCGGUGGAUACUGUCGGCUCGAGUCCGGAAGAGGUGAGUGGAAUUCCUGGUGUAGCGGUGAAAUGCGCAGAUAUCAGGAGGAACACCAAUGCGAAGGCAGCUCACUGGGACGGUACUGACGCUGAGACGCGAAAGCGUGGGGAGCAAACAGG
rnacentral:rRNA from 1 species